rnacentral:lncRNA from 1 species
CUUGAACCCGGGAGGCGGAGCUUGCAAUGAGCCGAGAUUGCGUCACUGCACUCCAGCCUAGGCAACAGAACAAGAUUCCAUUUAAAAAAAAAAAAAUCUAAGCAUGAAACACCUUCACAUAUUGUUACCACUGAUGUAUUUCGUCUUAUUAAUGCCAUUUAGUUUGUGCUUUCUGUAUAACAUUCUCUUGUUCCUUCACCUUUUUCCCUUCACCUUUUCCCCCACUUUUUCAGCCUUGGCCGAGUUUGUAGUUUGUCCAUUCCUUCUUUGCCUUUAAUGGCUUGAAAGUUACAUGUCCGCUUCUAUUAAUUUAUUAAUAAACAUUCAACUU